rnacentral:rRNA from 1 species
UACGUAGGGUGCGAGCGUUGUCCGGAAUUACUGGGCGUAAAGAGCUCGUAGGUGGUUUGUCGCGUUGUUCGUGAAAACUCACAGCUUAACUGUGGGCGUGCGGGCGAUACGGGCAGACUGGAGUACUGCAGGGGAGACUGGAAUUCCUGGUGUAGCGGUGGAAUGCGCAGAUAUCAGGAGGAACACCGGUGGCGAAGGCGGGUCUCUGGGCAGUAACUGACGCUGAGGAGCGAUAGCGUGGGGAGCGAACAGG